UACAGAGGUCUCAACCGUUGUUCGGAUUCAUUGGGCGUAAAGGGUGCGUAGGCGGUCGCGUAAGUCAGGUGUGAAAUCCCGGGGCUCAACCCCGGAACUGCAUUUGAUACUGCGUGGCUCGGGUACUGGAGAGGAGACUGGAAUUUACGGUGUAGCAGUGAAAUGCGUAGAUAUCGUAAGGAAGACCAGUGGCGAAGGCGGCAUCCUGGACCAUUACUGACGCUGAGGCGCGAAAGCUAGGGGAGCAAACGGG
rnacentral:rRNA from 1 species